GUACUCACUUCGGCAGCACAUAUACUAAAAUCGUAAUGAUAGAGAAAAUUAGCAUGGCCCCUGUGCAAGGAUGACAUGCAAAUUAGUGAAGUGUUCCAUAUUUUU